rnacentral:piRNA from 1 species
UGGAAAGUAAAAGCCCUUUGGGUAUGGUUGC